CCUGGUGGCCAUAGCGAGGGGGAACCACCCGAUCCCAUCCCGAACUCGGAAGUGAAAACCCUCAGCGCCGAUGGUACUGCGUCUUAAGGCGUGGAAGAGUAGGACACUGCCAGGC
rnacentral:rRNA from 1 species